UCCAGCAUGGUGUAGUGGUUUGAGUGUUGGACUAUGAAUCAGGAGAUCAGGGUUUGAUUCCCUGCUUGAG